UACUCUAACCUAUAUUUCUCGACCGUCCGAUCGAAUCGGAGGGUCCAGAUCAGCCCUAUCCAAACCCACCUACCUAAUUUAAGCAGUCAACCCUAGAUCCUAGGCCGAAUGUCCCAUCCAUCCCUUGUCCGCCGCCACUGUCUUCAUCGGGAUCCACUCCAGAUCCAAUCCCCCAACCAUUGAGCCCCUCCUGAUCCACUUGCAGCAGCCCUGCGCCGGCCUCCCGCGCAUGAGCACGAGCUCGUCCCCGAGCUCCUCCCUGACUCCCUCCCCUAGCUGCUGGAGCUAGCCACCGUGGAUGCCCGUGCAAGCGCCGGACUGUCGCCAGCGAGCACCGCUGCCCAGCCUCGUCGGUCUAGCAGGGGAGCGUUGUGCCCUGCCCUCUCUCUAUCUUUCUUCUUCCCUGCCCUCUCUUUCCUUCUUAUCUGAAACCUCCUGUGUGUCUUGUUUGCUUCAGGCAACAGCAACCGUCAGGGCCGUCAACUCCGGCAGCCUCCCGUCCGCUCCGCCUCAUGCCGAACCACGCCGGAACUGAGCAAAGGCUGCUGCAGCCCCGCCAUGGAUGCCCUCGCCGCCUCGCAACUCGCCGACCGCCGUCGUUCCCCAACGGAUCCGGUCGGCCCUUGGUAGAUCAGCCCAUUCCCGGCCUCCGUCAGCCCCGCCGUUUCCCCUAAGACCCGCGCCGGAGAGCUGCCUGCAGCGCCGCGCCGCCGCAAGCAGAGCCAAGGCCGACCUGCAGUUUUAUUCAGUUGCAGGUACAGGUAAAGGUUACUUGACGCGAGCGCGAUGAUUGUUC